rnacentral:misc_RNA from 1 species
GAAGUGCGAUAAGCAAUGCGAAUUGCAGAAUUCCGCGAAUCAUCAGAUCUUUGAACGCAAAUGGCGCCAGAGGGAUAUCCUUCUGGCAUGUCUGUUUCAGUGUCUGAGAGGUUUCACAAUAAUCUUAAUGUGAUUGAAUUCGGCUUGUUUGAUGGUUUUUAUUAAUCAUCAUCUUGCUCUUUUUCUCUCAUGAAAGAUGCGCAAGGGGAUCUUUCGGUCCAAUGAAGUGGUCACAUCACUCGAAUGUGAUUUCAUUGGAAGCACCGAAUUAUCAUUUUAACUUGCGGUAUCAUAUUAUUAUUGAAUGUUAUUUCCUUUUUACAAAGGUAAGUAACAUUUAUACUCUCUAUACCCUGCAUCUGAGAUAGGCAAGAUCACCCGCUGAACUUAA